rnacentral:lncRNA from 7 species
GAACAUAGAAGACUCCAACAAUAUGAGAUCUGCAGUAGCAUGAUUUUUUUUUAGGAAUGCACAUUAAAUUAAACAUCUGUAGCUUAUGUCAAAGUUAGUCAAUUUUUCUGAACAUUCCUUAUAUCUUUAGAAAGCACGGUCGAAUUUGGAUUGAGAUUAGAUUAUUUGGCGUAGCACUCUAACUGUACAGUAGAUUUGUGAUCGAUGGGCAAGAUGAACGAAAGCGGUCUGUAAAAGGAAAGAAAUAGUUGUUCGAUGACCAG